CCAUGCCUUAGCAUUCUCUCUUUCUUGUUCUUGACUCUCAAAAAUAAAGUCUUCCACAUCAUUGAUCGAAGAAGAUAAAGAAUCUUCAUUACCUAGUUCAAUUGGAAAUUCAUUGAAACGAUACUCUUUACGAAGAAAAUUGUGUAAUCCUAUACAAGCUAAUACGAGUUCCGCUUGUGUACGAUAUGGAAAUGGAUGAGCUGUUUUGAAAAUUGUGAAUCUUGAUUUAAAUAUACUAAAUAUCCUCUCAAUUACGUUCCUUAAGGAAGUAUGACGAAGAUUAAACGACUCUUUUGUAUUUUCAGGGUCACGAACUUGACCAAUAAAAUCUUGAAGAUGAUAACGGACACCUCGAAAAUGCGUUAAAAACUGAUGUAGAUUUGGAAAUCCACAAUCUCCCCUGAACCUUGUCAUUUCCUUGUGUUCAAUCUUCUAUGAAUACUAUUGUCAUAUAAUUAGAGAACAAAUAAUUAGGAAAAUACAAAAUGAUAUACAUAAACUUAAGUUUAGCGAACUCAUUCCACCUUAAAACUAUGCAUCACCGAUGGUCAUUAAUUGAUUCUGCUUAAGAAUUCAAAAUAGAAUAGCAGGAUGAAACCAAGCAUUUCAUAGUAAUUAAUUGAAAAGAUUGUGCAAACUAUGCUAGGUAUAUUCUGCAAAUUUUUUACUUGUUUGAUUUCACAUAAACAACCAGCUCGUAAAACUCAACACUAGAAUAACCCAAGUAACCAAGUCAGAUUCAAAAAUAAAUUCCGAAAAUUCAUAAAAUAUCUAUUGUAAAUUCAUUAUAGAGAAUGCAUCGUAUAAUAUGCCUCCUAAUUUGAGACAAUCAAAAUAUAAUAUUAAUAAUAAGUGCUUGCCAAGUGUAAUACUUAAUAAGUACUUAGUUAAUGUAGGUUUCCUUCCUAAAUGACACAAGUUAAAACUCAUAGUUUUUUCCAAUAAUGAGUAUUUUCCAUCGUUGCUAAAUUGAAGGUUCACCUUGCUUUGAAUAACUUGUUAUUAGUCGCUGCACAACAGCCAUACAAAAAUUACAUAAAACCCUCCGUUAAUUUUUUUAACAUUGUUUGAUGAGUUACUUUUAGAAAUAGAGGGAGAGAUAAAAAUGUACCUUGUUAAUAAAGAAAAACACAAACCAUUAUAAAUCAAACAGAAAACUGCUCGAAAGAUUCAAAGAAAAUUUACCAUAAAUUUACCUGAUUAGAAGAAAACUCACAGCAAACAAAAAACUCGCGGUAAAGAUUUACAGGGUUUAUCCAUAAAUUCAUAGUAAACUGAAAACUUAUAUAUUUAGGGGGUUUAUCCAUAAAUCAAACAAAAAACUCAUAGAAAAUAUUCAAAAAAAAUUUACCUGAUUGGAAGAGAUGGAGGAGAAAACCUAGAGGAAAAAAUAAAAGGCCGGCUAUUUUGAGAAAUCUCUCGAUGGAUGAGAGAUUUUUUUUGAGAAUUCCCUUUUAUAUUUUC
rnacentral:lncRNA from 1 species